rnacentral:rRNA from 1 species
AUACGUAGGGUGCAAGCGUUGUCCGGAAUUAUUGGGCGUAAAGAGCUCGUAGGCGGCUUGUCGCGUCUGCUGUGAAAUCCCGGGGCUCAACCCCGGGCCUGCAGUGGGUACGGGCAAGCUAGAGUGCGGUAGGGGAGAUUGGAAUUCCUGGUGUAGCGGUGGAAUGCGCAGAUAUCAGGAGGAACACCGAUGGCGAAGGCAGAUCUCUGGGCCGCUACUGACGCUGAGGAGCGAAAGCAUGGGGAGCGAACAGGAUUAGAUACCCUGGUAGUCCAUGCCGUAAACGUUGGGAACUAGAUGUAGGGCCUGUUCCACGGGUUCUGUGUCGUAGCUAACGCAUUAAGUUCCCCGCCUGGGGAGUACGGCCGCAAGGCUAAA